rnacentral:rRNA from 1 species
AUGGAAGCUCGACCAAAAAAGAGCACGAUCAUGGGAGAGAAGCUCAACCUCCUGGCCCCAUUGUGGUCCAUAAUAUUUGAUAAAUGGGUUUUUCAGUGUUUUAUUUUUGCUGAAAGAAAGAGAAAGUGUCCGAUAAAUGAAACUGGUGAGGAGCAGCUAAUGAAAUCUGAAACUGCAGAAGUUGAAGUUGCAUGCAAAAUAGUACACCAUACUCCAUUUCUACAAAAUGUUGAAGCUUCUGAGCGGAUGGAGAAUGAUACAUCUACAGGAAGGCCAUCUGUAGAAAGCAACAUCAUUAUCUUUAACCAACAACUGAACUGCAGCAGCAGCGCACUAACAUCAGUUAGACGGCGAGGCAGGACACAACAACAACAACUAGCAGCAACCAAAAAAUGUAGGCUAGGUCAUGACGGCGGCACUGACAUGGAGGAGAAUCCUUUUUCAAUCGCCAUCAACAUGGUUGUCCCUAUAGGCCAACUAUCAACUUUACCAUUCUGA